CCUACGGGAGGCAGCAGUGGGGAAUAUUGCACAAUGGGGGAAACCCUGAUGCAGCGACGCCGCGUGAGUGAAGAAGUCAUUCGUUAUUUUAAGCUCUAUCAGCAGGGAAGAAACUGACGGUACCUGAGUAAGAAGCCCCGGGUCACUACGUCCCAGCAGCCGCGGUCAUCCUUAGGGGGCCAGCGUUAUCCGGAUUUACUGGGUGUAAAGGGAGCGUAGACGGCAAUGCAAGGCUGGAGUGAAAGGCGGGGGCUCAACCCCCGGACUGCUCUGGAAACUGGACGGCUGGAGUGCAGGAGAGGUAAGUGGAAUGCCUAGUGUAGCGGUGAAAUGCGUAGAUAUGAGGAGGAACACCAGUGGCGAAGGCGGCGUACUGGACUGUAACUGACGUUGAGGCUCGAAAGCGUGGGGAGCAAACAGGAUUAGAUACCCGGGUAGUC
rnacentral:rRNA from 1 species